GGGGGGGGGGGGGGGGGGGGGGGGGGGGGGGGGGGCGGGGGGGUGAGGGGGGCUUGCUCCGGGAGUCAGCGGCGGACGGGUGAGUAAUGCCUAGGAAUCUGCCUGUAGUGGGGGAUAACGUCCGGAAACGGGCGCUAAUACCGCAUACGUCCUGGGGGAGAAAGUGGGGGAUCUUCGGACCUCACGCUAUCAGAUGAGCCUAGGUCGGAUUAGCUAGUUGGUGGGGUAAAGGCCUACCAAGGCGACGAUCCGUAACUGGUCUGAGAGGAUGAUCAGUCACACUGGAACUGAGACACGGUCCAGACUCCUACGGGAGGCAGCAGUGGGGAAUAUUGGACAAUGGGCGAAAGCCUGAUCCAGCCAUGCCGCGUGUGUGAAGAAGGUCUUCGGAUUGUAAAGCACUUUAAGUUGGGAGGAAGGGCAGUAAGUUAAUACCUUGCUGUUUUGACGUUACCAACAGAAUAAGCACCGGCUAACUUCGUG
rnacentral:rRNA from 1 species